rnacentral:rRNA from 1 species
CCUACGGGAGGCAGCAGUGAGGAAUAUUGGUCAAUGGGCGAGAGCCUGAACCAGCCAAGUCGCGUGAAGGAUGACGGCCCUACGGGUUGUAAACUUCUUUUGUCAGGGAGCAAUUGAGUCCACGUGUGGUCUUAGCGAUAGUACCUGAAGAAAAAGCAUCCGCUAACUCCGUGCCAGCAGCCGCGGUAAUACGGGGGAUGCGAGCGUUAUCCGGAUUUAUUGGGGUUAAAGGGGGCGUAGGCGGAAUAUCAAGUCAGCGGUAAAAAUUCGGGGCUCAAACCCGUCGUUCCCUUGAAACUGAUGUUCUUUAGUGGGAGAGAAGUAUGCGGGAUGCGUGGUGGAGCGGGGAAAUG